AGCAGUCGCCGCGGGAAUACGAAGGGUGCAAGCGUUAAUCGGAAUUACUGGGCGUAAAGCGCGCGUAGGUGGUUUGGUAAGAUGGAUGUGAAAUCCCCGGGCUCAACCUGGGAACUGCAUCCAUAACUGCCUGACUAGAGUACGGUAGAGGGUGGUGGAAUUUCCUGUGUAGCGGUGAAAUGCGUAGAUAUAGGAAGGAACACCAGUGGCGAAGGCGACCACCUGGACUGAUACUGACACUGAGGUGCGAAAGCGUGGGGAGCAAACAGGAUUAGAUACCCCUGUAGUCCCUGUCUCUUAUAC
rnacentral:rRNA from 1 species